rnacentral:rRNA from 1 species
UACAGAGGGGGCAAGCGUUGUUCGGAAUUACUGGGCGUAAAGGGCGCGUAGGCGGCCGCCUAAGUCAGACGUGAAAUCCCUCGGCUCAACCGGGGAACUGCGUCUGAUACUGGGUGGCUUGAAUCCGGGAGAGGGAUGCGGAAUUCCAGGUGUAGCGGUGAAAUGCGUAGAUAUCUGGAGGAACACCGGUGGCGAAGGCGGCAUCCUGGACCGGCACUGACACUGAGGCACGAAAGCGUGGGGAGCAAACAGG